rnacentral:rRNA from 1 species
UACGUAGGGGGCAAGCGUUGUCCGGAAUCAUUGGGCGUAAAGAGCGUGUAGGCGGCCCGAUAAGUCCGCUGUGAAAGUCCGGGGCUCAACCCCGGAUCGGCCGUGCCGACUGAGAGGCUGGAGCACUGUAGAGGCGAGUGGAAUUCCGGGUGUAGCGGUGGAAUGCGUAGAGAUCCGGAAGAACACCGGUGGCGAAGGCGGCUCGCUGGGCAGUGGCUGACGCUGAGGCGCGACAGCGUGGGGAGCAAACAGG